GGGGGCGUAGCUCAGAUGGUAGAGCGCUCGCUUAGUAUGAGAGAGUUACGGGUAUCGCGCGAUACCCGCGCCGCCA